UACGUAGGGGGCAAGCGUUGUCCGGAUUUAUUGGGCGUAAAGAGCGUGUAGGCGGCUUUACAGGUCCGUUGUGAAAACUCGAGGCUCAACCUCGAGACGUCGGCGGAAACCAUCUGGCUAGAGUCCGGAAGAGGAGAGUGGAAUUCCUGGUGUAGCGGUGAAAUGCGCAGAUAUUAGGAAGAACACCCGUGGCGAAGGCGGCUCUCUGGGACGGUACUGACGCUGAGACGCGAAAGCGUGGGGAGCGAACAGG
rnacentral:rRNA from 1 species